CUUUUCCUAACCAGAAACCCUUCUGGGAGCCAUGAGCAUGUCUGUAGGCUCAGCUGUGGUUUCCAGAUUCCAGGAGCACUUGCCCUGUCAGGGGCCAGGAUACUGCCAGACUUGUGUUCACCACAGGUGUGUUGCCACUGCAGCUGUUCCAGUCCAUAACACAGCCUUGUAAUGUCAGCGUGGAUGUGUAAGUGUGCAAGGAACAAUCAGUGCCAGUGUAGAGACCCUGGAUGUGGCCAUCCACUCUCAAUGGCCCUAGGUCCUUCCAGACCCUCCAUGUUCAUUUCCCAGGGAACCUCUGGUUUGGAACCGUAACUGCAAAGAGUUUCUACACCCAAGACAUGGGCGAAAAAUUCAGAAGCCACUGGGACCGCCUUGGAAGAAGGAACUCGGCCAGGGCCUUUGUCAGUCAUCCCGAGUCACUAGCACUCAGGCGUCUUGUGCCAGGAGAGGGGGUCUUGGCCCAGAGCUCACCCUCCCCGCUGAGGCACGCUUGGUCCCUCGGAGCUAAGAUGCUCUGCACUGCACUUUUAAGGAGCAGGGAUCCUGCCAGGGAGGACUCUUAAACAGAACCACAAUAAGCAGUGAUUUACGGUCAGCCCCUGCAUGCAGCAGAUGCUGUGGGCCUGCUGAGCUCAGGAGCAGUGCACCUGCACGCCUGCCUCCCGGCCUGACCCAGCUCCAGCCUCUGUGCUCCAUGCUGACUCCUGUCCCACCAGCACCAGCCGCCAACAGUGGGGGAGACAUUCUUUCCACCGUAAGGAUUUGUUUCCUGUAAACACAAUUAGCACAUAAAACUGUGCACCAUGUGGUGAAAGGAAUUAGGAAAAUAUGCUGUGUUUACUUUGUGGUUCCAAGAGCUGAUAUCUUCACACCUUUGAUCUGCCAAGAGCCCAGAUCAUGGGCAGGAAAGGAGGGAUAAACCUGGCUCAAGCAGCCAAUGGAUAAACAGCCGCCCGGCAGUCUCCUCACAGUGCAACUCAACUGCUGCUCCCGAGCUGUGCUUCCGAGUGUGGGGCUGUGUGGUCUCUGCCCCCAAGUGGAGGCUCCUGCAGAGCACAGCUGGGCCAGGAGCUGGGUGGCUCCACUGAUGCUUCAUUUCUGUACCUCAGUUUCCAUCCAAAGAAGAGGAGACAGCACAGGGCUCUUGAGCAGAACAAGACAGUUCCCGUGAGAUACUGGGGGCAAUGUCAAAUGAUGCCAGUGACUGAAAAGGAAGCAGCCUGUGUUACCAGGACCACAUGACCUCCCCACUGCUUUCCAGAAGGUUCCUGAAUAACCCACCCCUUAUUUACAUGUAAUUAGGUGGAGGUAUAAGGAGAGCCAGCCAGCAAUCCAAGGGGGUCCCUCUGCCUGUGGACGUCCCAACACUGGCUGUGCCCUGUUGCCCCAAUUACCUCUUCCUCCACCAUCGGCUCAGGCAUGAAUCUCUCCUGAUCAACGCCUCCUCCACCGUCAGGUCACAUGUGAAUCUCUCCUGAUCAACACCUCCUCCACUGUCAGCUCACAUGUGAAUCUCCCCUGAUCAAGGCCUCCUCCACCGUCAGCUCAUGUGUGAAUCUCCCCUGAUCAACGCCCCCUCCACCGUGAGCUCACGUGUGAAUCUCCCCUGAUCAACGCCCCCUCCACCGUUAGCUCACGUGUGAAUCUCUCCUGAUCAAUGCCUCCUCCACCGUCAGCUCACGUGUGAAUCUCCCCUGAUCGAUGCCUCCUCCACCGUCAGCUCACAUGUGAAUCUCUCCUGAUCAACGCCUCCUCCACUGUCAGCUCACAUGUGAAUCUCCCUGAUUAAUGCCUACUCCACCGUCAGCUCACUUGUGAAUCCUGAUUAAUUCCUCCUCCACUGUCAGCUCACGUGUGAAUCUCUCCUGAUCAAUGCUUCCUCCACUGUUGGCUCACAUGUGAAUCUCUCCUGAUGAGAAGUCCAUGGUCACUUGAGUCAUUUUUCUCCUGUAUGUUUCUCUGGCUUUCAAGAUUUUUUUUUCUUUAUCAUCUUUGGUUUUCACCAGUUUAAUGUGUAAAGGUCUGACUUUCUCUUAAUGCAUGUUGUUUGGGGUUUUCUGAGCUUUUUAAAUCUGCAGGUGUAUGUCUUUAACCAUAUUUGGGGGUCCGUGCACAUUAUUUUUUGAAAUAUUUCUUCUGUCCCAUUUUUUCCUCUUUCUCUCCUUCUGGGAGCUCCAGUUACCCAUCUGUUAGACCUUCUGGAAUUGUCCCACAGCCCUCUGAGGCUCCUUAACAUUCUUUUCCUCAGAUAACUUUUAUUUUCAAUUACGUUUUGGUUGAAGGGAUGUUAUUGUCCUCUUUUUAAUAGCAACUGACAGACAUUCUUCAUAUUCUGGAAUUUCUCAUAUUUAAGAAUGUUUACUUCUCAACUUUAUAAUUAAACACAAAAUAUUCAACUAAUUGGAGAAUGGAGUCCAUUCACAUUCAGUGUUGUUUAUAAAUAAGGGCUUAGACUGCCAUUGUGUGGCUUGUUUGUGGUUGUAACUCCUCUCCUCUUUCCCUCCUUUGUUACUGUCAUCCGUUGUGGUUAAGUGAUUUUCUCUGAUAGUAUGUUUUAAUUCAUUGAUUUUAUUUUUAGUGUAUCUAUUGUAGGUUUUUGCAUUAUGGUUACUAAGAGGCUUACGAAAACAUUUUAUAGACAUUUUGAAGAGAUGACAACUAUCAUAGAUCUCUGUUCACUUUUUAAAUAAUUUUUCUCUUUCUUUAACUUAUAUGGCUUCUAUCAAUCUCUUUAAGUUGACUACUAUUUUCCUUUAUUAAACCUGAACUUUUUAUUUCAAGUAUUGUAUUUUUUCAUUUGAAAAUUCCAUUUGGUUUUGUUUAAUAUUUUAUAUUUCCCUGCUCAGAUUUUUUAUGUUUUCAUUCAUCAUAAGCAUAUAUUCCUUUACUUUGCUGAGAACGGUUGUAAUAGCUGUUUUAAGGUACUUGUCUGGUAACUCCAACAGUCUUUUCAUCUCAAUGUUGGCAACUAAAAACUGCCAUUUCUUUUGAAGACUGGUAAUAUUUUUCUUGGUCUUUAUAAGUCAAAUAAUUUUUUAUUUUAUCCCCCAAAAUAAAUUUUAUGUGUAGUGGCUCUGGAUUCUGUUUCCCCAGAGAGAAAGUGGAAGCUUCUAAACCUAGGCGAGUGGUCUGCAGAGCAAAAUCGAGGCAGGCAGACAUCUUCCAUCCAAGAGGGCUCUUGGCUUCACUCAGGAGAGAUUCACAUGAGAGCCAACAGUGGAAGAAGUGUGAUCAGGAGAGAUUCAUGCGAGAGCCGACAGUGGAGGAGGUGUUGAUCAGGAGAGAUUCAAGUGACCGUGGACUCUGAUCACAUUACAUACAGUAGAACAAUUAGUCGAGUGACUGUGGCCUUCUCAUCAGAACUCAUAGAGAUUAGUAGAUGUAUUUACAAUGCUGAAAAACCAAACAAACCUCUCAGCGUAAAAUUUUAUAUCCAGAGAAAAUUUCCUUCAGUAAUGAAGACAAUAUAUGUUUAUUUUAAGGAAAACUAAGAUAAUUCAUCAGCAGCAGACCUGCACUACAAAAAAAAAAAAAUGCUAAAAGAAGUUAUUCAGGAAGAAGAAAUAAUUCCAGAGGGAAACUAG